AUACGUAGGGUGCGAGCGUUGUCCGGAAUUACUGGGCGUAAAGAGCUCGUAGGUGGUUUGUCGCGUCGUCUGUGAAAUUCCGGGGCUUAACUCCGGGCGUGCAGGCGAUACGGGCAUAACUUGAGUACUGUAGGGGAGACUGGAAUUCCUGGUGUAGCGGUGAAAUGCGCAGAUAUCAGGAGGAACACCGGUGGCGAAGGCGGGUCUCUGGGCAGUAACGGACGCUGAGGAGCGAAAGCAUGGGUAGCGAACAGGAUUAGAUACCCUGGUAGUCCAUGCCGUAAACGGUGGGCGCUAGGUGUAGGGGUCUUCCACGACUUCUGUGCCGUAGCUAACGCAUUAAGCGCCCCGCCUGGGGAGUACGGCCGCAAGGCUAAAACUCAAAUGAAUUGACGG
rnacentral:rRNA from 1 species